UAAAAAUUAUUUAUAUGAUUAGAGUUACGGAUUUAAGAUACUCAAAAUUUUAGUCAUUUUCACAGAGUUUUUGUGUACUUUCAUUCAAAAUUAAUCACAGUUUGCAAAAAUGAGUGCACAAAACUUGAAAAAGUUGUUCACAGCAACUUUCGAAAUUUCCGGUAAGGUUCAAGGCGUUUACUUUCGUAAGGACCGAAGACGACAGUUUAGGCUUCACCAUCGAAAUUCUUGUAUUGUAAAUGUUCAGUCCGAACUUUGU